AUCGAAUGAUGUCAAGGAUGUACUACAUGAUAAUGAUGAUGAUGAUGAUGUAGAACCCACCAUGAUUACUGAUGAU